rnacentral:rRNA from 1 species
AUUGAACGCUGGCGGCAUGCCUUACACAUGCAAGUCGAACGGCAGCACGGGUGCUUGCACCUGGUGGCGAGUGGCGAACGGGUGAGUAAUACAUCGGAACAUGUCCUGUAGUGGGGGAUAGCCCGGCGAAAGCCGGAUUAAUACCGCAUACGAUCUACGGAUGAAAGCGGGGGACCUUCGGGCCUCGCGCUAUAGGGUUGGCCGAUGGCUGAUUAGCUAGUUGGUGGGGUAAAGGCCUACCAAGGCGACGAUCAGUAGCUGGUCUGAGAGGACGACCAGCCACACUGGGACUGAGACACGGCCCAGACUCCUACGGGAGGCAGCAGUGGGGAAUUUUGGACAAUGGGCGAAAGCCUGAUCCAGCAAUGCCGCGUGUGUGAAGAAGGCCUUCGGGUUGUAAAGCACUUUUGUCCGGAAAGAAAUCCUUGGGCCUAAUACGGUCGGGGGAUGACGGUACCGGAAGAAUAAGCACCGGCUAACUACGUG